rnacentral:tRNA from 1 species
GGAAAUGUAGCUUAAGCAAAGCUUCUUCUUUUUCCAAGUGAUCUAGGUUCAAAUCCCAACAUUUCCU